UCGUGCUAGGCGGGGAGCUCGGGGUCCCCUGCACCGGAAACCCUCGACACGCCGGGCUGAUUACCCGUCUGCGGCCACUGAUUGACCGGGUCCAGCCCCCGGCAAGCAGCGUUGAUGGUCGGGUCCUGCGCGACUCGGAGCCGUGAACCCGGUCAGGCCCGGAAGGGAGCAGCCGUAAGCGGUGGACCGAGAGUGCCGCAGGGCACCCCGGCCGGAGCCGGCUACCGGAACGGCGCCGGCCGCUCAGCGGUCCAGGACGGGGCGCACGA
rnacentral:SRP_RNA from 1 species